CCUGGUAGUCCACGCCCGUAAACGAUGAGUGCUAGGUGUUAGACCCUUUCCGGGGUUUAGUGCCGUAGCUAACGCAUUAAGCACUCCGCCUGGGGAGUACGACCGCAAGGUUGAAACUCAAAGGAAUUGACGGGGGCCCGCACAAGCGGUUGGAGCAUGUGGUUUAAUUCGAAGCAACGCGAAGAACCUUACCAGGUCUUGACAUCCCUCUGACCGCUCUAGAGAUAGAGCUUUCCUUCGGGACAGAGGUGACAGGUGCUGCAUGGCUGUCGU
rnacentral:rRNA from 1 species